rnacentral:rRNA from 1 species
AGUGAACGCUGGCGGCGUGCCUAAUACAUGCAAGUCGAACGGAGUGGCGCACGGGUGAGUAAUAUAUAGCUAAUCUGCCCCUUGCUGGAGGACAACAGUUAGAAAUGACUGCUAAUACUCCAUAGACCGGGAUGAGACUAUAUCGUAUCAGCUAGUCGGUGGGGUAACGGCCUACCGAGGCUAUGACGCGUAACUGGUCUGAGAGGAUGAUCAGUCACAUUGGAACUGAGACACGGUCCAAACUCCUACGGGAGGCAGCAGUAGGGAAGAUUGCGCAAUCGGUGUAACUCUGACGCGGCAACGCCGCGUGGAGGAUGACACUUUUCGGAGCGUAAACUCCUUUUGUUAGGGAAGCGGUACCUAACGAAUAAGCACCGGCUAACUCCGUGCCAGCCGCCGCGGUAAUUC